rnacentral:rRNA from 1 species
GACGAACGCUGGCGGCGUGCCUAAUACAUGCAAGUCGAACGCAGUGGGGACGGGUGAGUAACACGUGGGUAACCUCCAAUCAGAGGGGAUAACACUUGGAAACAGGUGCUAAACCGAUACGGAUUGAUGUAGCCGCGGUGCAUUAGCUAGUGGGUGGGGUAACGGCUCACCAAGGCCACGAGGCAUAGCCGACCGGGAAGGGUGAUCGGCCACACUGGAACUGAGAAACGGCCCAGACUCCUACGGGAGGCAGCAGUAGGGAAUCUUCGGCAAUGGGCGAAAGUCUGACCGAGCAACGCCGCGUGGGUGAAGAAGGUUUUCGGAUCGUAAAACUCUUUUGUUAGGGAAGCGGUAUCUAACCAGAAAGCCACGGCUAACUACGUGCCAGCAGCCGCGGUAAUAC